rnacentral:rRNA from 1 species
AGCUCCAAUAGCGUAUAUUAAAGUUGUUGCAGUUAAAAAGCUCGUAGUUGGAUCUGGGGCACAGGCGGUCGGUCCACCUCGCGGUGUUGACUGGCCUGCCCGGCCCACCUUCCGGUCCUUCCUUGGUGCUCUUGACUGAGUGCCCUGGGCGGCUGGGACGUUUACUUUGAAAAAAUUAGAGUGCUCAAAGCAGUCCUGAGCGACUGAAUAUUGUUGCAUGGAAUAAUGGAACAGGACCUUGGUUCUGUUGUGUUGGUUUUCGGAACUGAGGUAAUGAUUAAGAGGAACAGACGGGGGCAUUCGUAUUACGGCGGGAGAGGUGAAAUUCUUGGAUCGCCGUAAGACGAACUACUGCGAAAGCAUUUGCCAAGAAUGUUUUCAUUAAUCAAGAACGAAAGUA